rnacentral:rRNA from 1 species
AGAGUUUGAUCCUGGCUCAGAAUGAACGCUGGCGGCAUGCCUAACACAUGCAAGUCGAACGAAGGCUUCGGCCUUAGUGGCGCACGGGUGCGUAACGCGUGGGAAUCUGCCCUUGGGUUCGGAAUAACAGUUAGAAAUGACUGCUAAUACCGGAUGAUGUCGUAAGACCAAAGAUUUAUCGCCCAAGGAUGAGCCCGCGUAGGAUUAGCUAGUUGGUGAGGUAAAAGCUCACCAAGGCGACGAUCCUUAGCUGGUCUGAGAGGAUGAUCAGCCACACUGGGACUGAGACACGGCCCAGACUCCUACGGGAGGCAGCAGUGGGGAAUAUUGGACAAUGGGCGAAAGCCUGAUCCAGCAAUGCCGCGUGAGUGGUGAAGGCCUUAGGGUUGUAAAGCUCUUUUACCCGGGAUGAUAAUGACAGUACCGGGAGAAUAAGCCCCGGCUAACUCCGUGCCAGCAGCCGCGGUAAUACGGAGGGGGCUAGCGUUAUUCGGAAUUACUGGGCGUAAAGCGCACGUAGGCGGCUUUGUAAGUUAGAGGUGAAAGCCCAGAGCUCAACUCUGGAAUUGCCUUUAAGACUGCAUCGCUUGAAUCAUGGAGAGGUGAGUGGAAUUCCGAGUGUAGAGGUGAAAUUCGUAGAUAUUCGGAAGAACACCAGUGGCGAAGGCGGCUCACUGGACAUGUAUUGACGCUGAGGUGCGAAAGCGUGGGGAGCAAACGGAUUAGAUACCCUGGUAGUCUACGCCGUAACGAUGAUACUACUUGUCCGGGCACUUGGUGCCUGGGUGGC